rnacentral:lncRNA from 1 species
AAAAAUCCAAAAUAAAACUCUCAACUCUCUUCAAUGUUCGGCCACCAGACCGACCAUCGGCCACCGUAUUGGCCGUUGGUCGCCGGUGCCGGCGCUGCCGUACGCGGUGGCCAGAGAGCUCAAAAAUCCCUCCUUCGAACCCCCUUUUCGCAUAGAAGAAGAUUUAAGAUUUAAAAAUCCGUAAACUAAUCCCAAAGCCCUUAAAAACAAUAAAAACAUCUCGACUUUUGGCUUCCUCUGUCGAAGUUUUAACCAGAUCUUUAGGGAUCCGUCGGCUUUCAGACCAGAAGAGUGUGUGCCGAGGGUAUCAACGCCAAAUAUAGGUAAAAAUUUUCCUUUUUUAUAUAUUUGUGCGAUAGAUUCAAAAUAAAUAAAUAAAUAAAUAAUAAAGAUAGGAAAUGAACAAAAAAAUGAAACCUUUGAAAACGUUUCUUUGAUUAAUCUCUGUAUUGAUAACCCUUUUCUUUUCUUUUUUUUUUUGAUUUUUCUCUCCUUAAAAGUCCCCCCUCUUACAAUUGGUUCUUUGUUGGCUUUAUAUAGCCGAGGCAUUACAUGUGAUUUUUGUCCUUGCUACUGUUCAAUCCCUGCUUUGUAUUGUUUCUGCCUCUGUUCUGUAUGGUUUUGCUUCUGUUUCGCCUCUGUCUCUUUGCUAUUUUGGUCUUCUUUGCAGGUUCGUGAGGCGCAGGCGAUGGGACGGGCCUAGGGAGUAGUUGAGCCUAGAGCAUUGAACGCGCUGACUAGGCACGUGGGGAGCGGCGCAUACUGUUGCUGGAGAAGGGAACCCUAGGGUUCUUGAAAAUGUUAAGUUUUUGGGAUGGGGUUUUGGUUCGGGCCAUGUAUGGGUUUGGUUUGGUUUAAUUGGGUUGAUAAUUGGACUAUUUAAUUAUUUUUGGGCUUUUAUUUGUGGGCCGGACAAAUUUGGGCAUUUACACCCCCUCUUUAUAUCGGUUUGGAAAUGGCUCUUAUAGCCGAAAGAUACAACAUUUUUUUAUUAUUGUUUGCUUCCUCUUUUGCUGCUGUUGCGUGUUCUCUUCCAUUUUGCAGGUAGAGUCGGAGCUGGUGGUACAAGCGAUAGGACAGGGCGCCUGUCUCGAGCGUUAAACGCGCUGACACCACGUGAGGAGUGGCGUGGCACUGGAGAGGGGAGCCCUAGGGUUCCUCUGAAAAUGUUAAACAUUUUGGGCUAGGCUUAGGGUUUUAGUUUUUCUUUUAAAAUGGGUUUGGGUUUGAUUUUUUCUUGGGCUGUAGAUUUUUUUUAAUUUGAACUAUAAUGGACUGUUUAUUUAUUUUGGAUUUUGGUUUUUAUUGACUUGGGCUCGGGCCGGGC